rnacentral:rRNA from 1 species
UUAGAGUUUGAUCCUGGCUCAGGAUGAACGCUAGCUACAGGCUUAACACAUGCAAGUCGAGGGGAAACGACAUCGAAAGCUUGCUUUUGAUGGGCGUCGACCGGCGCACGGGUGAGUAACGCGUAUCCAACCUGCCCAUCACUUGGGGAUAACCUUGCGAAAGUAAGACUAAUACCCAAUGAUAUCUCUAGAAGACAUCUGAAGGAGAUUAAAGAUUCAUCGGUGAUGGAUGGGGAUGCGUCUGAUUAGCUUGCUGGCGGGGUAACGGCCCACCAAGGCGACGAUCAGUAGGGGUUCUGAGAGGAAGGUCCCCCACAUUGGAACUGAGACACGGUCCAAACUCCUACGGGAGGCAGCAGUGAGGAAUAUUGGUCAAUGGGCGAGAGCCUGAACCAGCCAAGUAGGGUGCAGGAUGACGGCCCUAUGGGUUGUAAACUGCUUUUAUAAGGGAAUAAAGUGAGCCUCGUGAGGCUUUUUGUAUGUACCCUAUGAAUAAGCAUCGGCUAACUCCGUGCCAGCAGCCGCGGUAAUACGGAGGAUGCGAGCGUUAUCCGGAUUUAUUGGGUUUAAAGGGUGCGUAGGUUGUUUUUUAAGUCAGCGGUGAAAGUUUGUGGCUUAACCAUAAAAUUGCCGUUGAAACUGGGGAACUUGAGUGUGUUUGAGAUAGGCGGAAUGCGUGGUGUAGCGGUGAAAUGCAUAGAUAUCACGCAGAACUCCAAUUGCGAAGGCAGCUUACUAAACCAUAACUGACACUGAAGCACGAAAGCGUGGGGAUCAAACAGGAUUAGAUACCCUGGUAGUCCACGCAGUAAACGAUGAUUACUAGGAGUUUGCGAUAGACAGUAAGCUCUACAGCGAAAGCGUUAAGUAAUCCACCUGGGGAGUACGCCGGCAACGGUGAAACUCAAAGGAACUGACGGGGGCCCGCACAAGCGGAGGAACAUGUGGUUUAAUUCGAUGAUACGCGAGGAACCUUACCCGGGUUUGAACGUAGUUUGACAGGGGUGGAAACACUUUUUCUAGCAAUAGCAAAUUACGAGGUGCUGCAUGGUUGUCGUCAGCUCGUGCCGUGAGGUGUCGGCUUAAGUGCCAUAACGAGCGCAACCCUUAUCACUAGUUACUAACAGGUAUAGCUGAGGACUCUGGUGAGACUGCCAGCGUAAGCUGUGAGGAAGGUGGGGAUGACGUCAAAUCAGCACGGCCCUUACAUCCGGGGCGACACACGUGUUACAAUGGCAUGGACAAAGGGCAGCUACCUGGCGACAGGAUGCUAAUCUCCAAACCAUGUCUCAGUUCGGAUCGGAGUCUGCAACUCGACUCCGUGAAGCUGGAUUCGCUAGUAAUCGCGCAUCAGCCAUGGCGCGGUGAAUACGUUCCCGGGCCUUGCACACACCGCCCGUCA